UACGUAGGGUGCAAGCGUUGUUCGGAAUCACUGGGCGUAAAGGGCGCGUAGGCGGAGAGAUUAGCUAGGGGUGAAAGCCCGGGGCUCAACCCCGGAAUUGCUCUUAGAACUGUCUUUCUAGAGAAGGUCAGAGGCUGACAGAAUUCCUGGUGUAGCGGUGAAAUGCGUAGAGAUCAGGAGGAAUACCGGAGGUGAAAACGGUCAGCUGGGACCAUUCUGACGCUGAGGCGCGAAAGCGUGGGUAGCAAACAGG
rnacentral:rRNA from 1 species